GGACGGGAAAUUCAUUUGCAGAAAGAAGGUGCCUUUCCAAUGACCCAGAAUCGGGCACUGCAGCUGCUUUACGAUCUGCGUUAUCUCACCAUCGUUCUGACGACCAAGGGUGAAGAGAUGAAGAGCGGCCGCAGCAAACAGGACCCCAGAGUUGAGAAAGUAGCUGACUACCUUGAAGCGCUCAUUGACCCGUUUGACCUGGACGUUUUCACGCCGCACCUCCACGGCCACCUCAGCCGCCUGCUGCAGCGGACCUCGGUUCUCUUUGGAUUGGUGACGGGUACAGAGAAUCAGUUCACCCCCAGGAGCAGUACGUUCAACUCCCAGGAAGCCCAUAACAUACUGCCACUAGCAUCUAGUCAGAUCAGGUUUGGACUUCUUCCACUGAGCAUGACCAGCACUCGAAAGGCCAAGUCAGCCGGCAGAAGCAUCGAACCCAGAGCCCAGUAGGCUGCCAUCCGUUAAGCCUGCGGGAGUCCUCCUGGGUAUUUCUGAAGUGUGUUGUCGGCAGGCUGCUGUCCCCCCGGCACUCUCCCGAGCAGAUGAGCCGACGCACGCUGGCUCCUUGUUCAGACAGCUUGGCACCGAGGAGGAAGACUCGUCUGCGCCCUCACUGUUCAAACUUGGGUGGCUCUCUAGUAUGACCAAGUGACACGGGACGGUCCGUCUCUCUAAAUAAAUACUCCUGCAUUAUUUCUUCUAGAAGUGCCUCUGCUCAUUUGUUCCUAAGCCACACCAGUCUUUCCAGUUGCCGUGGUGGAAUGGGGCCCCCUGGUUCCCGUUGGGGGUUACUUUAAGCAAAAAGUGAAUCCUUGUCCAAUAGUUUCACAACACUUGUGACUUCAGACACCAGUUCAGAGAGCUUACGCUGUGUCAGCCUUCACCGGCGCCUUAAUUCUCGACACUACGAGGCGGAAUUAAUGAUCAGAGAGCACACACAAGCUGCUGCUGGACAAGUCUGUGAAUAAGACAGAGUCAUUUGCGUAUUCCUUGACUGUCCGAACUGAGCAGUGUUUUCUAAGUCUGAGAUGUAGGCUCUGGAGGAAUAACGGUAACAAGUUUAUCUGGGGAUCCAAGGGUCUGAGAGACCCUCUCUCUGGAAAUACAAAUAUAUAACAAAGAGAGAGGACGGUUAUCAGGGCGGGUGCUGACUUUAUCAUACAGUCUGACUGCAAUCUGGUGGUUCUCCUGUCACAGAGGACAGAGUA